rnacentral:rRNA from 1 species
GAUCAUGGCUCAGAUUGAACGCUAGGCGGCAUGCCUUACACAUGCAAGUCGAACGGCAGCGGGCCUUCGGGUGCCGGCGAGUGGCGAACGGGUGAGUAAUGCAUCGGAACGUGCCAUUGAGUGGGGGAUAACGUAGCGAAAGUUGCGCUAAUACCGCAUAUUCUGUGAGCAGGAAAGCAGGGGACCGCAAGGCCUUGCGCUCUUUGAGCGGCCGAUGUCAGAUUAGCUAGUUGGUGAGGUAAAGGCUUACCAAGGCGACGAUCUGUAGCGGGUCUGAGAGGAUGAUCCGCCACACUGGAACUGAGACACGGUCCAGACUCCUACGGGAGGCAGCAGUGGGGAAUUUUUGGACAAUGGGGGCAACCCUGAUCCAGCCAUGCCGCGUGAGUGAAGAAGGCCUUCGGGUUGUAAAGCUCUUUCGGCCGGGAAGAAAUCGCAUGGGUGAAUACCCUGUGUGGAUGACGGUACCGGAACAAGAAGCACCGGCUAACUACGUG